ACUUUUUAUGAAAAAUAUGGCAGUUUUAUGUUUGUCCAUUUUUUAUGGCAUCUUUUGAUUUUUAAAUUGUUUUAUGGUAUUUUUUAUGUCAUAUAUGUGCAAACUUAAUUUUAAAUCCCAUAUUUAAUGUUUAGAUACAUUAUUACACAAAAUUGAAAGCUAUUUCUUCUCCUCCAUUCAAGCAUUGUACUUCCUCACUCCUUAACAGUCUACCUACCCAAAUCUAUUCACCAGCAACACAUCCAGCGAUCGGCGGCGACGACCCACACAGUCGGCGACCGGCGGCGGCAACCCACACAUUCGGCGACCGACGACUCAAAUGGACCCUAAAUAUGAGAUCUCUACCAACAAAACCCCAAAGACUCGAAUAGAUUCCAUGGCCGUUGGAGAUCUAAAUCUGCACCGUAAUUGGAGCUCAACCGCUUGGUCCCGAACUCGUACAUAUUCUGAGAUUCCAAUGGCUAACUCCAGUGACGACUUUGGCAUCAAGUUGACAAACUCUAGUGACAGCGAUAGCUCCGAAAUUUUUUUCGAUAAUUUUUUCCAGUAACGAUGCCGAUUUUGACGACUUUUUUUUUGGCACCGUUAGAAACUCAAGUGACUUUCCGUCAAUGUUAGCAAAUUUCGACUACUUUUUUGGCACGACAAUAACUCUUGUGACUAGGUUGGUGGUCAAUCUUCUAAGAAGGAUGUAAAAUUUAUAUAAGUUUUAGUUUUUGUAUUUGUUCUUUUAUUAAGAAACUCGUUUUUGAUUAUAUAGAAUUAAUUAGUUUAUUAAAAUAUUGUCUUAAUAAAA